UACGGGGGGGGCAAGCGUUGUUCGGAAUUACUGGGCGUAAAGGGCUCGUAGGCGGCCAACUAAGUCAGACGUGAAAUCCCUCGGCUUAGCCGGGGAACUGCGUCUGAUACUGGAUGGCUUGAGUUUGGGAGAGGGAUGCGGAAUUCCAGGUGUAGCGGUGAAAUGCGUAGAUAUCAGGAGGAACACCGGUGGCGAAGGCGGGUCUCUGGGCCGAUACUGACGCUGAGGAGCGAAAGCGUGGGGAGCGAACAGG
rnacentral:rRNA from 1 species